CGUGAAAUUUAUUUUAGUAGAGUGUAGGAUGUCGAUGGCCCUAGGUAGAGCACUCAAUGGGCUAGGGUGGCCCCAUUUCACCUUACCAACCUUAAGGAAACUCCGAAUACAAGCCUAAAUCGUUUGUAUAGACAGACUUUUGCGGUGCUAAAAUCCAAAGUUGAGAAGGAAACAGCCCAUAUCAUACUCGUCCCUAAGCAAUCACUUAAUGGAAAUGGAAGUGAUCGAGUGAUGACAACCAGGAGGUGGGAUUGGAAGAAGCAAUACUUUGAAGAAAGCGUUAUAGCUCAUUGGUCUAGCUCCAUGUCAAGUGAUUUUAUUUAUGUUCUAUUUAUUUUUUAUUGCAUGCUAGAGGGAAUG
rnacentral:rRNA from 1 species